GCUUUAUACAUUGUAAAGAAGCCCACAAGAGAGCCAAAUUCUAUUUGCUUUUCUCUCUAGCAGCCUCCAUUUUUUUCUGUUUAUGGGUGUUUGAAGAUUGUGACAUCAGAUCUGAAACCAAGCUGAUGGUUCAUCAAGUAGUCAUGGUCCCCACUUUGCUGUGUGGAGCUGAGAUGUGGACAAUGUACAGGAGCCAUCUAAAGUUGCUGGAGAAGUAUCAUUAAUGCUGCCUGUGGAAGAGCCUCUGAAUCUAGUGGGAAGACAGAUGCACCAAUAUUGAUGUCCUCCUGCAAGCAAACACCAUGAGUAUUGAGGCAAUGAUCAUCCAACAUCAACUUCAUUGGGCCAGCCAAUUCAUCUGGAUAUCCGACUCCAGAUUCCCAAAGCAAUUUUUAUUCUCUCAUCUUAGCCAAGGCGAAUGCACAAGAGGAGGGCAGAGAAAGAGCUUCAGGAAUGUCCUCAAGGCCAAUUUAAAAAAAUGGAAUUUCAAUGUCACCUCAUGGGAGAGUAUCACCCAGGACCAGCCCAAAUGGAGGAAGAGUCUGCUGUGGGGAUCUCAAUACUUUGAAACUUCAUGACAACAACAGGAGAUGGAAAAGUGGGAGUGGCAGAAACAGCGUGUCGUGGACCAAAUCAAGAAUCCAGCACCACCUACUCCACAUGGAAACAUAUGUCCAACCUGCAGUAGAGUCUGCCAAUCCUGGAUAGACCUCAUCAUCCAUCUUCAGACAGACAGAUAAGAUAAUCAUGGAGAUAAUCAACUGUGAGGGAUUGCCGAAGAAGACAGGUCUUUUCUUUUCUUCCCUCUACGUUUUCUUUCCUGAAGUACUCCCUGCUCCCACUUGCUCCUUGCUCCAUUCCAUCCACUGAAAUGGUCAGUGGGGCAGUAGAUAAUGUUGAAAUGAAAGUGUGCUUUCAUCCACUCUAAGCCAUAUGUUGGAAGUCAAGUCCACAUGCUGAUGGCUUUCUUUACAAUCAUGACAAUUUGAAAUUUACAAUUAUUAAAAAAAAGAGCCUAAGAUCCUAUGGAGUUAAAAUAUGCCAGACUGGGUACAUAAAUACAUUGGCCUUUUGCCUGAUACACCUAGCUUAGAUGCUGUACUGGACAUUUGGUCAUUAAUGGGCACAUCCACACAAGAUGUUUCCUGUAGAGCUGCCUGAUUAGCUCUGCUGUAAAGUCUCUCCAUCUACAUCUGUGAUCCUAUUAGGUUGCAGUAAACUAAUAAACUCUGCCACAAGUUAGUACAUGUAAAUACAAGUACUAUCCUGCUGUGGAAUUUUUUAGUGUGCUGUAAAGCAUGUGUAGAUGCUGACAGGGCUGGCUGGGGCACUAGGAUGCUUCCAUGUAGGGGCUGCCUGCUCGCUAGGCUCACACUGGAGCACUCUUGUACUCCAACCAGCCCCUCUGCAGCACUUUGAGCCAAGGUAGAGCAGCCCCAUGCUAGCAGGCUGACCCCCUGGGCCCCCCACCAGCCAAGGCUGCUCUGACUUGGCCCAACGUGCUGUGGUCCUGGGUAUACAUUCAAAUGGUAAUUUUAUUAUUGAUUUCAGUGGGUACUUCCACAUAUAAAUUUGGGUGAAAAAAUAAACACCAGCACAGCUUGUACUGGUGUUUAUUUCUACUGGGCACAGUGUUUACACAUGCAUCUGGGACUGCAGCACAUUGAGCCAGGGAAGAGCACCCCCAGGGCUGACAGAGGGUCUGGGAGGGGUCAGCCCUGGGUGGUGGUGGAGGGCAGCAGAGGAGCUGGUUGUGGCACAAGGGUGUUACAGUGUGGGGCUAGGCAGCAGGCAGCACCCGCACUGAAGCACACUUGUGCCCCAGUCAGCCCCACUUUUCCAAAUCCUAGAUCCAUCCCUGACUAUGCUAUGUGGUCCUGAGGCUUUCGGGGGUGAUUGGUCCUUUGCUCCAGGUACAGCAUGAGCCCUUUGCUAGAGACUAUGGAAACAUCUACACAUAGACAAGUGGGGUGCAGGGACAACUUGCCCCUGUGCUGCUAGUGCUGCUGAUAUGCUGCCAUGGGGGCAGAAGCCAGGCUUGAGUUGUGAGGUGCCCUGGGGUUCUGUCGGGCUGGGCACCGUGCCAUGUCUGUGCAUGGUGCCCAGCCCCCUCCUUCCCACCCCCCCACUCGGAAAGGGUGGAAAAGCUGAAGAGCUGAGGUGAAAGCACGGAGGGACACACAAUCCAAAGGCUCCAGACGCCCUCUCCCUUGCUCCCCAGUACACCUUAUGCUGAUGUAUUGAUGCUGCUCAGAGCCGUUCCAUUCUAGACCCGUCUUCCCUGGACCGCAGGGCCCAGCUGAAGUGCCCAGGCAGGAGCAAGUGAGGCUCAUUCCCAUUUCUGUUUUCUUUCGAGGGAUGACUCAAUCCAUCAUUAAAAAAAUUCCAACUCCCUACUAAAAAUGGCAUCACAAUCAGUGCCCUGGAGGAAAAAGAGACGGGGAAGGGGGGAAAUGUGAAAAAUGGGUCCUAUUCCUGGCUUCAUUUUCUUACACACACACAGCUGAUGUUCGUCUUGUAUUUGAAAAGUUUAUUUUGAAAGGACAGGGGUAAGGAUUCUGCGACAGGCUUGCUUUGCAAAGACUGGAUCCAAUUUUCGGAGUCUGUUGCCAAUUUUUGUGAGUCAUUUCCUUGGAAUCCUACCUUUGGUGUUGAUUUCCCUUAGAAGGAAACUUGUAAAAGAAUAAUAAUAGCUCUUAUUCUUCACGGAAAGUAGCACAGUCAAAUGGAAGACAACUCGCUCUUUGUUCCAAAACACUUUUCUUUUCUUUUUUUUAAUUUGUUUUGUUUACUUUCUUCAGCGGACAAAAGUGAACAAGGCAAUGUAAUUAACCCCAUAAAACAUCUAAUUUAUGGUGCCAGUGACAUCCGUGUACUGCUCCACUGGAGUGAAAAGUUAACUGGGUAGGCAAUUUUAAUUGGUGCUUUUUUUAAAGUAUGAAUAACGAGUGCCACCUUAUGAUUUUGGAACUUUCUCAUCUAAAGCUGCUUUUGCCUUGCCAACCCACCUUGACUUGCUUGACCACUUUUCUUUCUAUUAUACCAGACACAGUAAUCAUAUCCACUAUGUGUUCAACUUCAAAAGACAGCUGAAAAGUUAACUAUCUAGGAAACAUCAUCGGUGGCAGCCUAUAGUAACUGGAGCCCCUUUCAUCUCCAGGAUGUCAGUAUUCUCCAAGCUAAACUUUAAUUGAUUUAAAUGGAUACAGGAUGGCAUUCUGUACUUUUGGAGGAUUUAUGCAGCUGCCAGUGAUAUGGCUCAGAACACUAGAAGUAUCUUCUUCUCUUACUUGAAGAUACCCUCUGGACUUGUAUUAUUCUCACAGAACAGGCAGGACCUCUCAAGCUUUCACCUGGAAAAAAAUUGUACACUGUAAACAUUUUAGAACCCAGUUUCAUAUCUACCUAAAUCUUCCAAUGAGAAAUAGGUUACAAACUUUUAAAUAUUUUUCAUAUUCUCAUAAAUUGAAGUGCAAACUAUAAUGAAGACAUGCCUUUCCAUUUAAAAGUUAGCUGUAAUGAAUUCCAGGGGAGAAAUUUAGGUGUGUUUAUAGAAUUCCAGAAGACUUGUUAGAGUCAUGUACUGCAUUUAAAAACCAAACACUAAAGAAAUAAUUAAAACCCCAUUUUGCCA